GCAUGUAUGUGUGUAUGUGUGUGUGUUCUACAGGUCAGAGACAAGAGGGAAUCCUUCCCUGCCUUCACGCAGGGAGACAGGAGCUGUUCCCUGUACAAUGUCUUCCAGACAGUGUGGUUCCUGGGGCUCUUGCUCUGUCACCGUCUUCAGAGGAUCUCCUAGCCCCUUGGGCAGCCCAGGUGACCUGGGCCCUUAGUUAUUUCUGGCUGACACUCAACACACAUACAUGUGUGUCCGUGUGCUUUGUGCAUGGCUGCGGCCUGUAUCCACCAUUCUAUUUGAGGUAGGCCACAGGACCAUGUGCUCCAAUCCAGCAGGGGCCUGGAACCUGGAGUUUCUUUAACUUUAGCAUCCUCUGCCACCUUCCUGUUACCUGUUACUUCUUGACCAACUAGGAUCACUCCUCAGUCUUGAGAAUUCAGGAAGAUGGAGAGGAGGAACAAAAGAAUGUUUUCCUUUAAGCCCAAGUAGGCUCAGAGAUUGCUUAUAGAACUAUGAGCAGUCUGGGUCCCUUAAAAUGUCACUAACAAGCUUUCUGCUUGCUAACAGCAAUAGCUCCCGGCCCUUGAGCCCAGCUCCCUGAAGUCAACCAUUUCUGCUUGGGUUGGUUUCCUUGCCCACAUUGAUGACUAUGGAAUCGAGAGGGGCGGAGAAACCCCCUUUGAGACUUCUCAUCUCACCUCCUAAUAGCAGCUGGAUGAAAAGAGGCCCAAGGCCCCAUUUUGUGUGCUAGUUCCUAUCUCAGUGCUGGUCUAUUCCUUACCUAGCCCCGCAGUGUCCUACGGGGUAGGUGAGGGUCCAGACAGACCCUGCUGGGAUGCAGGGUCCUGCUUUCUUGCCAGGAGGUGCAUUUUAGUGUUCCUUUGGCAGGGGGGAGGGUCUUACAACAAUGCAAGAAUCGUCAAGUCGGCAAGACUGCACUGGUUCCACCAGUAAACCCUUCUUCCCGCCCUCUGGGUAACUGGACCUGCGUGGGAAAUGCUCACCUUAGAAACCAUCGCUUAAUCAGAGGCGUGGCCCUCAGUUCCCGUGAUAGAGGAUUGGCCGUUGAGGGUGCCCUAGAGGACAUGAGUGGGAUGGAGAUCACCGCCAUGAAAAAGCAGCUUCAUAAGAUCUCUGGGAGACUGCAGGCCCUGGAGGCAAAGUGUACCGGUUGGCGUCAGAAGGAGUUCAUUCUCUAUUCUGCCCUGCUCUCAGCCUGUGUUAUUAACACAUGGCUCUGGAUGAGAAGAUAAAGCAGUUGGCCCCUCAGAAUGCCUAGAGGGCAUGAAUGGUGGAAGACUACUGGGGAAGUGUUCUUGUAAACUGUAUUAGCAAACAUAGAUUGAUCCUUUGAUCUCUAGAAUUUCCAUGGAAAAAGCUACCUUUAAAAUAAU